AUUGGAAAGAAAAUCCCCCAAAAGCCCAGGGUGGGUGUUGACACGACAUGAUUUCUGUUCAGUGCUCUGGAUGUUAAAGAAAUUUAGUGAACACAGGUUAAUGGUUAACGACCUUCCUUAUCAUCUAAUUAGUGAUGUGCAUGAAUGGAUAAA
rnacentral:ncRNA from 1 species